rnacentral:lncRNA from 1 species
UCAGGGAGAAGAUAGAAAAGAUAUGUCUUUGCAACUGCUGAAAUGUCUUCUUUUUGGCCAAAAUGGAUUAGAAUUUUAUCAACAUUAAGCCAUAGGAAAGAAAGAGGCAGUGUAGUUAACAGUAACAAGAUUAUGGUCAUCAAAAGUGUCUUGUGAAGGAGCCUGAAGUUUUUAGCUCCAAAAGCUUGACCACAGAUAGGUUCCAUGGCACCACAAAGUCCAUUGAGGACGGAGAAACCUGUGACAUUAGCGAAGGUGAAACCGAGUGUGCCACCAGCUAACUGGAGCUCCCCUAGCCUGCCUAGAAAAGCUGUAGUCACCGCGAUCUUCACAAACCAGGUUAAGUUCAUGGCCACCAAAGGAAGUGCUAGUCCUCUCUGUAUUUUCAGCUCUGAAAGCAUUAUCUGUAUUAGGUUGGCCGGCCAUUUCUUGGUGGGAUAUGAAACUGAAGGUGACUGAGAUGGUUUGUCAGUUGGGAUCUCUUCCACUCUUGAUGUUGCAGUUGCAGGCAUUAUGGAAGAAAAUUGGUGGGGUUGCUUCAAAAUCCGAAUAUAUAAGAUGGGAAAUCUGGUUUCUUAAAUAAGUAUGAAUUGAAGGCUUAGUGUUUGCUAGUGCACGAGUUUUUUGUGAGGAUAUCAGUUUCUGAAGGAGCAAAUAAGGUGCCUAUUUGUUGCAAGUUCGUAACAGCCAAUUAAUGAAAAGAGAGUUGAGCUGUUGAUUUAAAGUGCGUGAUGAUAAGGCAAAGUUCCAAAGGACAAAUCACCUUUAUAUCUCGUGAGAUAUUCGUUUCAGUGGUUUUUUCUUUCCUUAGAAUAUUUACUAUUGCUGCUUUGGAAUAGUUUUACUAUCUAACUAACCUUUCUAUUUAGCACUUGAUUCAUUGCUUAAAUAGUAACUAAGAUUGUCCUGUAAGGUAAUCAACCAGACGCUUUGCAUGCUUUCUUUUGUUCAUAUAGGGCGAAUAUAGCAUUGAAACAAGGGUAGUUGAAAAAUCAUCUCCAUGUGAGAAGUUUUAAGAGGAAACUAAAUAAAGAACAUUAUCACAUAAUAUUCAAGAGAAAAACAACAUGUUUUCAUCUGGUUUUCAUUUACCCUUUACAUUGCAUUGCAAUUCUAAGGGGUAAAAUGAUUGGAGGAUUAAUAUAAUGAAGGUGGGAGAUUUGGUGUAAAAGGCGUAAGCAAUAAUGCGGUGGUCCUUCAUCUGUUAGCUGCUUUGCGUUUUGAGGAUGAAUCGGGUUUCACUAAAAAUUCUAAGCUAUAAGGAACCAAAAGUGGGGUAGCUAUGCCACUCCAUAUCUAAGCUUUUUGCUUUCAUUUUCUAAAGUAAAUAAUAGUUUAUUUAAUAUUCUUAUCACUUCAUAUUUCUUCAGUUUACAUUCAACUGAGUUUACUUCUCUACAUUUGUAUCGUGCAAUUAGGCAGGAGAAUAUGAGGUUGAAUAAAUCAGUUACAUGUAUUCUUACAGAUAAGUGCAGAGACAUGGCUACUUAAUCUGUGGAAAAGAGGAAUUAGAGUAUAUGUCGAAUGGAAUCAAUAGUAUUUUAUGUGAAAAAUUCUUAGGAAUCACAUGUAGAAGGAAUGUAAGGAGUGCUACUUUAACGGAAGCAUUGUAGAAAGUAAUGGCUUUUUCACCGAGGUUUGAUUCCGUUCGGUUUUCUCAAAUUUUUUUCUCAGCCAUAUUGUUCACUAACAGAUUAUAUGUUAUUGCCUUAAUUUAGUAGCCUGAGAGGGAAGAAAACAUUGAGCCUUUCGAGAUAAACAGGAUCCCAAUUACCAUAUCUUAUCAUAGUGGAAGUAAAAGGGGCUAAGAAUACAACUUUGUAAGAUAUGCUAUCAGUGGGAUUUCAAGGAACUAUGCACCACUUCCCAAUAUUAGAAAAAAGGGUACUUUUUCCUAAAAAGGAAGAGGCACCUGGUUUUCUUUCUGUUGGCUUUUCUUUGUAAGGAAGAAAAGAAAGACAAACCAAAGUUUGUGACUUGUUACAUUUUUCAGUUUCAGUACAUAAUUUACAUACAAAGUGUAGCCUUAUAUAGGAAAAAUAUUACCAACUGCAAUUUGACAAGUUGGAAAGCCUAAGAACUUGAAAUUACACAUUGGCAAUAGCACCGUUAAAAUUAUCCUAUCAAAUUUAAGAUAAAUAAAAUAAGCUAACAACUUUUCUAAACAAGUUGGCAACUUGCCAACAUGUAUCAAACAUCGGGAUAGUCUAUAGUACCUCAACUUGGCAUAGUCAGUUAGCAUCUUGAUAGUCAGUUGGCAAUAGCUAGGCAGCUUGCGUCUUGUGUAUCCGCGAGUCUUGUUCGUAUUUGGACAAUCCGCCAGAUAGUCCGCCAAAGGUUGUCAGCUAGAUAGUUCUCCAACUGACAAUCCACCAUUCUUCUUGCAUUUGGCCUAUCCGUCGGAUGACUUACACCAUUGUUGUUCACGGGACUGCAUGUUCUUGAUUUGUUCGCACUUUGCUUGUCCGCCAAAUGUGCGAGCUGUUGCAUGAAUGGGCUCUCAGAACACUUUCAUUUUCACUUUCUAAUUGUAUAGAAAAGAAAAGAUAGAGAAACCAAUCUAUUUUGGUUUGAUGCAGAUGUUGCAGUCCACUAGGUUGGAGAUGUACGCACGGUAGCAUAGUGUUAUUAUCAAACAAAUUAAUGAACUACCAAUCCUCUAUCAUUGAUUGCACACAAAUUUUAUCAUAAUGAGCUGUUUGGAUGCAAUGAAAAUUCAAGUCUCUAAUCUCUAUACAUCGCCCUUCACUGCAGCAAGGGAAAAAAAAUCAACCAUAUACUUCUAUCGUUGGAAAGAUCCAAUGGCCUCUCAAAAGUUCUAAAAGGAUACGAAAUAUACGAAAUAGGUAUGUCGGCAGAUAUUAUUACUAUGAGCAGCAGCAAGUGAACUAGAGAGCAAAAGGGUAGUAAACAGUCGAUUUAUAAUCUCUAUUAAGAUAUGUUCUUGAAAUUGUUCAAGAAAAUUUUGUGUGCUUUCUCGAGAGGCAUUGGCCUUAUUUGAUGAAAGAUGCACGGUCGGAAAUGAUUGAGCAAUAUCUGGCUGGAAAGCCACCUCAUCUUCCAACUUCUUUUGUUUCUCUUCAUCUAAUUAAGCAAUCUUAGGCUAUUCGGAGAUAAGUCCCAAGUUGCAAUUUAUAUCGGUCCUAUAAUAAUUAAGCCAUGAAGAUUAUGUGUUUAGUGAAAGCCACACUGUCAAAGGGCCAACUCCUGUUGGUAAACAUUGCACUAAGUUGAUAAAUCAGGAAUACGAGUUAAAUAAUUUGAGGCAUGUUAGGCACUACUUUUAAGAAUAUUUUGUCAUAAUGUGUAUUUUUAGGACUCAACAAGCUCAUUCGUUAUAAAAAUACGGAAAAGAAUCAACAAUAGAUCACGACGAAAAGUACUUAACAAUCACAAAAAAAUGAAGAGGACGAGCAAGAGAGGAAUAAUAGAGUUUUUUUAUGGUGUGUUUAGAAUGAAAGUGAGCCAAGAUAUUUUAGAAUAGCAAAUGUAAGUUGAGUAAAAUAAAGUAAGAGGAUUUCCCUUAAACAAAAAUAAUUUUAAAAAAUGGUUUAACUAAUUUAGACUUGACUAAAUAUAGCUUCGUAUAAGCUAUUUUUAGCUUUAACCUUUUAGAAAUUUAGUAAAUAAAAAGUCUAGAAACAAAAGGGUUUGGAUGCCGUGAUGUAUCACGUGCGGCGGGGGUGGCGGGGGGAUCGAUCAAUUUACAUUGGUCUUUUGAGCCUAGUUCUCAUGCGUGCUUGAUGGGUUCCGAGUCCACUAAAAAUAAUAUUCCUACACUUAAAUAGUAUAUAAAUAGUAAUAUAUGGAGUAGGGUUGAUCCCACAAAAACUGGGAUAUCUAAAAUUGUUGUUCGAUUUAACCAAGUUGUAUGUUAGGCAACUGUCGUGCCUAAGAUGUGUGACAAUCUGUGUGAAAAUAAAAAGGGAGUAUUAAAUCUAGUUAAAAUGAAAACAAUAGAAAUAAUUAAAAUCAAAAUAGCAGUAAAAUAAACAAAAAUGAAAUUAUAUUGACUAAAUUGAUGUGACGAUGUUCUAACUUUAGGCUCGAUUUUAGCUCCGGUUUUAAACCAAUCUUUAAUAACAAGUUUUCUCAUUUAAUUGGUAAGUUAGUUAUAGUGAUCGAGGAUGCUUUAGACCAAUAACUCUUCCAUGUGUAAAUUAAUUGCGCGAAUGCUCGACAUAUAACCCUUACUGAAUGAACAACCACAAAACACGUAUCCACGAUUUAACUCUUCGGUAGCCUUACGAACUAGAAGGGCCCAACUCAAAUCAACAACCUCAACUGCGUAGAUCGUUUAAAUACCAUUUCCCUUGAUGAAUCCAACCACUCACUCAAUUGAACAUUCCAGUGACGAAGCUAAAGGGGUUGACAGGGUCUUGCCCAUAAAAUAAAAAAUUCCUUUAUAAUUUAUAAAAUUUUAAAUUAAUAAAAAUAAAUUUAUACUUGGUCCCUCAAAUGCUACGAUUCUUAUCCUAGCUAACUACACCUAUAUCACCCAAUAAUUAAUUAGCUUUCUUGUUCCAAUUCCACUCUUUACUGAUUUAAAUAUUGGUUGGAAUUUAUGGUAAGCUUAAUCAAGUGACACUAAUGGGGCCAAACCAAUCAUGAUAUUAUUAUUAUAGUAUUUGAUUUGAUUUUUAGUGGAAUCAGAGUUGUACCUCUUAACUUUGUUUCACUCCAUAAAUGAUGGGUGCAUGAUGACAACACAACUUGAAUAACUUUCCAAGUGAGUCAAGGAAAGAAACACUAAAAAGACAGAGACAGCAAAACGAAAAAUAAAGUUAAAAUUUUCUUGUACUCAAGUUUAAGGCCUCUCAUUUUCUGGUCUCCACUUAACUCUUAUAAUUGCCAAACAAAAUGGAUGGGUUUUCUUUGCCAAAUUUGAAAAUGGUUCCAUAUAAGUUAUCUAUCAAUUGAAAUGCACCCAAAAGUGUUCCAACUAUCUGCAUUUUAGUGUUAUGUGUGAAUUCUCAACCCUUAAGUCUUGUAUACAAAUUAAAUGGUUCCAUAGACAUUUUUGGGAUGGCCUAGGAAAAUCUAAGCUCUGUGCGGUAUCAUCUUCAACACCUCACCGCACUUAAAGAGAUUCAUUGCAUAUUCAGAACUUCAAUGGAGUGUAAGCUUAGCUGGACAUGUUGGGAAACCUAGCACUUUGCUUCCCUGUUUAGCUUGUUUCUUUGAGCUGUAUUCUGAAUGGACAUAUGAGCAUGACCAUUGUUCUCCAGCAUCCCUGUAAAGCUGUUGCAUUCUGCAAAUUCUUGUCUAGGACAUUCUUCAAGGUCAUAUGAAGUUCUUCAUAUGUAGAAUUCAUGGCAUUGAAGCUCUAACAAUCUUAUCAUCGUGUGCUUUUCAUACUUCGUUGUCAUUUACCUUGUUAACUGUUUCCAGAUUCCCAUCAGAGGCAAGUAUAUGCGCCUUAUCGGCUUCUUCAUGCCACUUUAUUCUCACAACCAUCACCAACAACAAUGCCAAACAUGUUGCCAUCCCAACUAAAAGUCCUAUCAAUAACCCGCUCAGUCCAAGUGCAGCUUUGAAUGCCAAAACAACACCCAACGGUAAAGCUAAGAGAUAGAAGCCCCCAAGGUUUGCAUACAUUGCCAACCAUGGCCGAGCUGUUCCACGAACAAUUCCUCCACAAACAGCUAAGGGGAAGUUUACAACUUCAAUCACUGCCAUUAGCAGCAUCAUCUUUUUCACUCCUGUUAUGAUUCCUUUGUCAUGGCUAAACAGAGGAGCCCAAACGCCUCUCGCGCCCACCAUUGCCAAUGCACCAACGCAACCGGAAAUUGUGCUCACUGCAAGAGUUACGUAUGCAGACUGGUAGGCGGCUAUGGGCUGGUUUGAACCGAGCUCAUUAGAUACACGAGUAGAUGCACACGUGGCAAGUGAUAACAUCACAGAGUAGAGCAAGUAGUCGAAGUUCAGAACGAUAGCAAUCACUCCGACUGCCUGCUUGGCAUUCCGUAGCCUUCCGGUAAGCAAGACUAGAAUCUCAUAGCACCACCAUUCAAGGCAGGUGGUAAGACAACAUGGUCCACUAAGCUUGAGCAGUCUAAGCCAGUCUUCAACUCGUUGAUCCCACCAUCCUCCCUCAUUCCAGUUCUCUCCCUUUCUAUUCUCUUUCACCACUACAUACAAGACCAGAAGGAUUGCAGCUAUGAGAUCGCUUAUCCAGAUUGCCAUCGAAACCCCUUCAAUACCCUUAGCUUUUGCAAGAAAGAUAUUGAUGGGGAUGUGAAAAGCAAGCGCUAAAGCCGAGCUAAACAUGAUGGGGAUAGUUAUGCUUUGAGAGCUCAAAUAGGCCUUGAGAGGGCAUAGCAAUGAAGUGACAACCAAAUCAGGUAGAAGAUAGAAAAGAUACGUCUUUGCAACAGCUGAAAUGUCUUCUUUUUGGCCAAAAUGGAUUAGAAUUUUAUCAACAUUAAGCCACAGGAACGAAACAGGUAGUGUAGUUAACAGUAACAAGAUUAUGGCCAUCAAAAGUGUCUUGUGAAGGAGCCUGAAGUUUUUAGCUCCAAAAGCUUGACCACAGAUAGGUUCCAUGGCACCACAAAGUCCAUUGAGGAAGGAGAAACCGGUGACAUUAGCGAAGGUGAAACCGAGUGUGCCACCGGCUAACUGGAGCUCCCCAAGCCUGCCUAGAAAAGCUGUAGUCACCGCGAUCUUCACAAACCAGGUUAAGUUCAUGGCCACCAAUGGAAGUGCUAGUCCUCUCUGUAUUUUCAGCUCUGAAAGCAUUAUCUGCAAUAGGUUGGCCUGCCAUUUCUUGGUGG